rnacentral:rRNA from 1 species
CGCAGCGCUUGGCGACUGUGGUGCACUCCAUGGGCAUGCGCGUCAGCGUCGGUUCUCAGCGAGUGAUGAGGUGCCGGGGGAAGGUGGCUCGCCUCUUUUGAGGGGAGUGUUAUAGACCCUGGUGCUGGGCUCGUUGUGGACCGAGGAGAGAGAUGAUCGCUGCGGCACCUGCCUCUCGGGGCUAGCCAGCUGUUGUCAGAUGUGUGUCAGGCGUUGAGGACUGCACGCAGUGCUUGGUGUCUUGGCGUGGUCUGAUGGUGGUGUGGGUAUAGAGGUGCCUAGGACGCUGGCGUCCAAAUGGCCGUGCGCGACCCGUCUUGAAACACGGACCAAGGAGUCUAACAUGUGCGCGAGUCUUAGGGUGUGCAAGCCCUCGGGCAUAAUGAAAGUGAAAGCCUAGCGUUGGUUGGGCUUAGGUGAGAGCCGCUGCUGGCCUGAUGCCACGGCGGCGCAUCAUCGGCCGGUCCAUCCUGCUCUCAGGAGGAUCCGAGCAAGAGCGUAUUUGUUGGGACCCGAAAGAUGGUGAACUAUGCCUGAAUAGGGUGAAGCCAGAGGAAACUCUGGUGGAGGCUCGUAGGGAUUCUAACGUGCAAAUUGAUCUCAAAAUUUGGGUAUAGGGGCGAAAGACUAAUCGAACCAUCUAGUAGCUGGUUCCCUCCGAAGUUUCCCUCAGGAUAGCUGGAGCUCGUUAACACAGUUUUAUCAGGUAAAGCGAAUGAUUAGAGGUCUUGGGGGUGAAACACUCUCAACCUAUUCUCAAACUUUAAAUCGGUAAGAAGCGCGACUUGCUUAAUUGAAGCCGCGCAAUCAAUGUGAGUUCCAAGUGGGCCAUUUUUGGUAAGCAGAACUGGCGAUGCGGGAUGAACCGAACGCUCGGUUAAGGUGCCAAAGUUGACGCUCAUCAGACCCCAGAAAAGGUGUUGGUUGAUAUAGACAGCAGGACGGUGGCCAUGGAAGUCGGAAUCCGCUAAGGAGUGUGUAACAACUCACCUGCCGAAUCAACUAGCCCUGAAAAUGGAUGGCGCUCAAGCGUCACACCUAUACCGGGCCGUUGUCGUAAAUGCCAGGCGACAACGAGUAGGAGGGCGUGGGGGUCGUGAUGCAGCCCUUGGCGUGAGCCUGGGUCAAACGGCCUCUAGUGCAGAUCUUGGUGGUAGUAGCAAAUAUUCAAAUGAGAGCUUUGAAGACCGAAGUGGAGAAAGGUUCCAUGUGAACAGCAGUUGGACAUGGGUUAGUCGAUCCUAAGAGAUAGGGGAACUCCGUGUCAACGUGCGCAAUCGGUCUCGUGCCGCCUUGCGCCACCUAUCGAAAGGGAAUCGGGUUAAUAUUCCCGAACCGGAAUGCAGAUAUUUUCUGGCUCUCGGGUCAGGAGCGGCAACGCUAGCGAACCGCGAGACGUCGGCGGGGGCUCCGGGAAGAGUUGUCUUUUCUUUUUAACGCAGUCGCCAUCCCUGGAAUCGGUUUGCCCGGAGAUAGGGUUGGCUGGCUCGGUAAAGCAGCACACUUCAUGUGCUGUCCGGUGCGCUCUCGACGGCCCUUGAAAAUCGCGGGGGUGUACUGAUUUU